GAUACAGCCUGUGGAAAAGACACAGUCUAAAACAUUUACGGCGCAAUCAAAGCUCCGGUAAUGUACAGAUAGUAACACCUGUUCCAGGCACAGAUCUAGUACGGCUGUGCGGUGGAAGCAUCAUUACACGCAAUGUUGUGAUGACUGCAGCACAUUGUUUUCCUGAGACGUCCUUACAAGAAAAAAUAUCUAUCUUUUACAAUUCCACAAAGACAAGGGCUGGGCCGAAAGAUUAUGUGGUCCGCAUCAUUAUGCAUCCCAAAUUCAAUAAACGCCAUGCCGUGAAAUAUGACAUCGCACUGUUGAAGGUUCGAAAUAAUUUUAUGUUUGAUAGAUUUGUUCGACCAAUAUGCCUUCCCGAGAAAGAUAUUAUUGUGGGAAAAAAAAACAUUAUUAGCAGCCGGCUGGGGAAGUAUUAAUUCUAGUA